GCUCGAGUGGUGGAAUUGGUAGACACGCCGGACUUAAAAUCCUGUGGGCAUUAGCCCGUGCGGGUUCAAGUCCCGCCUCGAGUACCA
rnacentral:tRNA from 3 species